rnacentral:pre_miRNA from 1 species
GGUCCAAAUUAGAUGUAGAAUAGAUUAGUACGAUCAGUUGACCCUAGUAAACUACUCUAUUUCAAAUCUGUACCC